rnacentral:rRNA from 1 species
AGAAGGUAAAGUGAAUGCCUAGGCACGAGCCGAUGAAGGACGGGACUAACACCGAUAUGCUUUGGGGAGCUGUACGUAAGCUAUGAUCCAGAGAUUUCCGAAUGGGGGAACCCAGCAUCUUUAAUAGGAUGUUACGAUUGUGUGAAUACAUAGCACAUUCGAGGUAGACGCAGAGAACUGAAACAUCUAAGUACCUGCAGGAAGAGAAAGAAAAUUCGAUUCCCUGAGUAGCGGCGAGCGAAACGGGAAAAGCCCAAACCAACAAGCUUGCUUGUUGGGGUUGUAGGACUCCAAUAUGGUCGUUCUUUCAGAUAGUCGAAUGACUUGGAAAAGUCAGUCAAAGAGGGUAAAAACCCCGUAGACGAAAUGUGGAAGACACCUAGGAGGAUCCUGAGUACGGCGGAACACGAGAAAUUCCGUCGGAAUCCGGGAGGACCAUCUCCCAAGGCUAAAUACUCCCUAGUGACCGAUAGUGAACCAGUACCGUGAGGGAAAGGUGAAAAGCACCCCGGAAGGGGAGUGAAAUAGAACCUGAAACCGUGUGCCUACAACAAGUCAAAGCCCGUUAAUGGGUGAUGGCGUGCCUUUUGUAGAAUGAACCGGCGAGUUACGAUUGCAUGCGAGGUUAAGUUGAAGAGACGGAGCCGCAGCGAAAGCGAGUCUGAAUAGGGCGUUUGAGUAUGUAGUCGUAGACCCGAAACCAUGUGAUCUACCCAUGUCCAGGUUGAAGGUGCGGUAAAACGCACUGGAGGACCGAACCCACGUACGUUGAAAAGUGCGGGGAUGAGGUGUGGGUAGCGGAGAAAUUCCAAACGAACUUGGAGAUAGCUGGUUCUCUCCGAAAUAGCUUUAGGGCUAGCCUCGGAAUUGAGAAUGAUGGAGGUAGAGCACUGUUUGGACUAGGGGCCCAUCUCGGGUUACCGAAUUCAGAUAAACUCCGAAUGCCAUUCAUUCAUAUCCGGGAGUCAGACUGUGAGUGAUAAGAUCCAUAGUCGAAAGGGAAACAGCCCAGACCACCAGCUAAGGUCCCAAAAUAUAUGUUAAGUGGAAAAGGAUGUGGGGUUGCACAGACAACUAGGAUGUUGGCUUAGAAGCAGCCACCAUUUAAAGAGUGCGUAAUAGCUCACUAGUCGAGUGACCCUGCGCCGAAAAUGUACCGGGGCUAAACAUAUUACCGAAGCUGUGGAGUACACCUUUAGGUGUAUUGGUAGGAGAGCGUUCUAAGGGCGUCGAAGGCAGAUCGUGAGGACUGCUGGAGCGCUUAGAAGUGAGAAUGCCGGUAUGAGUAGCGAAAGACAGGUGAGAAUCCUGUCCACCGAAUGACUAAGGUUUCCUGGGGAAGGCUCGUCCGCCCAGGGUUAGUCGGGACCUAAGCCGAGGCCGAUAGGCGUAGGCGAUGGAUAACAGGUUGAUAUUCCUGUACCCGUUGUUUUUGUUUGAGCAAUGGAGGGACGCAGGAGGCUAAGGAAUGCAGACGAUCGGAAAUGUCUGUCCAAGCAGUAAGUCUGAAGAGGAGUCAAAUGCUUCUUUUCUUAAGGACAAGCUGUGAUGGGGAGGGAAAUAAUAGUACCGAAGUUCCUGAUGUCACACUGCCGAGAAAAGCUUCUAGUGAGAAAACAGCGGCCCGUACCGCAAACCGACACAGGUAGUCGAGGAGAGAAUCCUAAGGUGAGCGAGAGAACUCUCGUUAAGGAACUCGGCAAAAUGACCCCGUAACUUCGGGAGAAGGGGUGCUGAUCAUACGAUCAGCCGCAGUGAAUAGGCCCAAGCGACUGUUUAUCAAAAACACAGGUCUCUGCAAAAUCGUAAGAUGAAGUAUAGGGGCUGACGCCUGCCCGGUGCUGGAAGGUUAAGAGGAGUGCUUAGCGCAAGCGAAGGUACGAAUUGAAGCCCCAGUAAACGGCGGCCGUAACUAUAACGGUCCUAAGGUAGCGAAAUUCCUUGUCGGGUAAGUUCCGACCCGCACGAAAGGCGUAACGAUUUGGGCACUGUCUCAACGAGAGACU